UAUUUUCUGACAUUAGCAGUAUCUUCAAUGACUUCGUAGGUACCUCCAAUGGGCUUAGACCUCCAGUUAAUGAAAUACACAUUUUGAUAGAUUUGUUGAGUGAUAUGCUCUCUGCUCGGUCACCUACUGGAUCACAUAUAUCUUCAGAAGCUUCAAAUACUUUUGUUGAUGUUGGACUGGUUAAGUCUCUUACUCGUACACUUGAAGUGUUGGACUUGGACAACGUAGAAUCUCCCAAAACUGUAACAGGAAUCAUAAAAGUUUUGGAGUUGGUGACUAAGGAGCAUGCCCAUUCUGCUGAUUCGAACUCGAAGAAUGAAAAUGCGAACAAGUCAUCUGAUCAAAUUCAAUCAGGAGGAGGAGCAACAUGUACGAAGCUUUUGCAGAUGAAAGAACCCCUUGCUUUUCCCGUUAGAGACUUGCUUGUAUUGAUUUGCUCAGAAAACAAUGGAGAACACCGAUCUGGUGGUAUAUGUUGCAUUCUUAGCCGGAUUAAGGAUUGUUGUCCUGUCUUCGAUGACACAAAGAACAAUCUGCUCUCUGCUCUGUUGCAUGUUCUUGCUUUGAUUCUCCAUGAAGACGCAGGUUCCCGCGAAGUUGCGCUGAAGGCGGGUACUGUAAGACUUGUGUGCGAUGUACUCUCAAAGUGGGAUUCUGGUAGUAUUGAUAAGGAAAAGUUUAAUGUUCCAAAGUGGGUGACGACAGGGUUUCUUGCCAUUGAUAGGCUGCUACAAGUGGACCAGAAAUUAAAUACUGAGCUUAUAGAGGAGUUGCAAAAAGGUGAGACAUCUCUGGCCAUUGAUGAGAGCAAACAAGACAAGCUGCAAUCUGUUUUUGGCUCUCCACAGCUUGUUGAUGCUGACGAUCAGAAGAAGUUGAUUGAGAUUGCUUGUACAUGUAUCCGGAAUCAGCUUCCUUCUGAAACUAUGCAUGCUGUUUUACAACUGUGUUCUACAUUGACAAGGAAGCAUUCUGUUGCUGUCUGCUUUCUUGAUUUUGGAGGUGUGCAAGGACUGCUUUCUCUGCCGAGUAAUAGUCUUUUUCCAGGGUUUGACUCAGUUGCUGCUAGUAUCAUCCGUCAUAUUCUUGAAGACCCCCAAACGCUUCAGCAAGCCAUGGAAUCUGAGAUAAAACAUGCUCUUGCAACACUUUCCAACAGGCACUCAAAUCAGAGAAUCUCUCCACGCAAUUUUUUGUUGCAUGUGAAUUCUGUAAUUGCACGGGAUCCAGUCACUUUUAUCCAGGCCGCUCGUUCUAUAUGCCAAGUAGAGAUGGUUGGUGAAAGACCUUACAUCGUGUUAGUCAAAGAAAAAGAGAAAUCAAAAGACAAAGAGAAGGAUAAGGAUAAGGACAGAGCUGACAAAGAGAAAUCUCAGACUUCUAAUGAAGUUGCAACUACCACUCCCCCUGGGAGCACCAAGGCUAAAGUUUACCGGAAACCUCCUCAGUCGUUCAUUGGUGUUGUUGAGCUGCUUCUGGAUUCUCUCUGUAAUUUCGUUCCUCCUCCAAAAGAUGACAUGGUUGAAGGUGAUUCUACUUCAGCAGACAUGGAUAUUGAUCAUGCCUCUACUAAGGGAAAAGGCAAAGCGGUUGCUACUACACCUGAAGAAAAGAAAGCUAUUUCACAGGACAUGUCAGCUUCAUUGGCUAAAAUUGUUUUCAUUCUGAAGCUUUUGAGCGAGAUACUGUUCAUGUAUUCUUCGUCAAUCCAUAUAAUACUUCGAAGAGAUGCUGAAAUUAACAGUCUUAGAGGUCCUCAACAGAAGGGUGGUCAAGUUGGUGGAAUAUUUCAUCAUAUUCUUCACAAGUUUAUUCCAUACUCACGGGUGAAGAAGGAAAAGAAAUCUGAGAGUGAUUGGCGGCAAAAGCUGGCAAGUAGGGCUAAUCAGUUUUUAGUGGGUGCAUCUGUUAGAUCAGCUGAAGCAAGGAAGAGGAUAUUUUCUGACAUUAGCAGUAUCUUCAAUGACUUCAUAGGUACCUCCAAUGGGCUUAGACCUCCAGCUAAUGAAAUACACAUUUUGAUAGAUUUGUUGAGUGAUAUGCUCUCUGCUCGGUCACCUACUGGAUCACAUAUAUCUUCAGAAGCUUCGAAUACUUUUGUUGAUGUUGGAUUGGUUAAGUCUCUUACUCGUACUCUUGAAGUGUUGGACUUGGACAACGUAGAAUCUCCCAAAACUGUAACAGGAAUCAUAAAAGUUUUGGAGUUGGUGACUAAGGAGCAUGCCCAUUCUGCUGAUUCGAACUCGAAGAAUGAAAAUGCGAACAAGUCAUCUGA
rnacentral:lncRNA from 1 species